GACGUAGGGUGCGAGCGUUGUCCGGAUUUAUUGGGCGUAAAGAGCUCGUAGGCGGCUUGUCGCGUCGACCGUGAAAACUUGGGGCUCAACCCCAAGCCUGCGGUCGAUACGGGCAGGCUAGAGUUCGGUAGGGGAGACUGGAAUUCCUGGUGUAGCGGUGAAAUGCGCAGAUAUCAGGAGGAACACCGGUGGCGAAGGCGGCUAUCUGGACCGACAUUGACGCUGAGGCGCGAAAGCGUGGGGAGCAAACAGG
rnacentral:rRNA from 1 species